rnacentral:rRNA from 1 species
UACAGAGGUCCCAAGCGUUGUUCGGAUUCAUUGGGCGUAAAGGGUGCGUAGGCGGCGCGGUAAGUCGGGUGUGAAAUCUUGGAGCUUAACUCCGAAACUGCAUUCGAUACUGCCGUGCUUGAGGACUGGAGAGGAGACUGGAAUUUACGGUGUAGCGGUGAAAUGCGUAGAUAUCGUAAGGAAGACCAGUGGCGAAGGCGGGUCUCUGGACAGUUCCUGACACUGAGACACGAAGGCCAGGGGAGCAAACGGG